rnacentral:rRNA from 1 species
UCCCGCGUAAUUUAGGCAUAUUCUAAGCGGAGGAAAAGAAACUAACAAGGAUUCCCCCAGUAGCGGCGAGCGAACAGGGAAGAGUCCAGCACCGAACCCCGCAGGCUGCCGCCUGUCGUGGCAUGUGGUGUUUGGGAGGGUCCACUACCCCGGCGUCUCGCGCCGAGUCCAAGUCCAACUUGAAUGAGGCCACGGCCCGUAGAGGGUGCCAGGCCCGUAGUGGCCGGUGCGGGCGUCGGCGGGACCUCUCCUUCGAGUCGGGUUGCUUGAGAGUGCAGCUCCAAGUGGGUGGUAAACUCCAUCUGAGACUAAAUAUGACCACGAGACCGAUAGCGAACAAGUACCGUGAGGGAAAGUUGAAAAGAACUUUGAAGAGAGAGUUCAAAAGUACGUGAAACCGUCCUGGGGUAAACGUGAGAAGUCCGAAAGGUCGAACGGGGAGAUUCACGCCCAUCCGGCCGCUGGCCUCCGCCCUCGGCAGAUGGGGCCGGCCGCCCGCGCGGAGCAAUCCGCGGCGGGGUCGUGUCCGGUUGCUUUUCCACUCGCUGUGGGGUGGAGCCGUUCCAGCGUGCGGUGGGCCGCACUUCUCCCCUAGUAGGACGUCGCGACCCGCUGGGUGCCGGCCUACGGCCUGGGUGCGCAGCCUGUCCUUCCGCGGGCCUCGGUUCGCGUCUGUUGGGCAGAGCCCCGGUGUCCUGGCUGGCUGCUCGGCGGUACAUCUGGAGGAGUCGAUUCGCCCCGUGCGGGCGCUCGGGCUCCCGGCAAGCGCGCGCGGUUCUUCCCGGAUGACGGUCCUACCUGGCCCGGCCCCGGACCCGCGCCGCUGUUGGCUCGGGCAGCUCUCGGGCGGAAUAAUCGCUCCCGUCAGCGGCGCUUCAGCUUUGGACAAUUUCACGACCCGUCUUGAAACACGGACCAAGGAGUCUAACAUGUGCGCGAGUCAUUGGGCUCUACGAAACCUAAAGGCGUAAUGAAAGUGAAGGUCUCGCCUUGCGCGGACCGAGGGAGGAUGGGGCUUCCCCGCCCGUUCGUGGGCGGCGGCCUCCGCACUCCCGGGGCGUCUCGUCCUCAUUGCGAGGUGAGGCGCACCUAGAGCGUACACGUUGGGACCCGAAAGAUGGUGAACUAUGCCUGGCCAGGACGAAGUCAGGGGAAACCCUGAUGGAGGUCCGUAGCGAUUCUGACGUGCAAAUCGAUCGUCGGAGCUGGGUAUAGGGGCGAAAGACUAAUCGAACCAUCUAGUAGCUGGUUCCCUCCGAAGUUUCCCUCAGGAUAGCUGGUGCUCAUACGAGUCUCAUCCGGUAAAGCGAAUGAUUAGAGGCCUUGGGGCCGAAACGACCUCAACCUAUUCUCAAACUUUAAAUGGGUGAGAUCUCCGGCUUGCUUGAUAUGCUGAAGCCGCGAGCUUUGACGACUCGGAUCGGAGUGCCAAGUGGGCCACUUUUGGUAAGCAGAACUGGCGCUGUGGGAUGAACCAAACGCCGAGUUAAGGCGCCCGAAUCGACGCUCAUGGGAAACCAUGAAAGGCGUUGGUUGCUUAAGACAGCAGGACGGUGGCCAUGGAAGUCGGAAUCCGCUAAGGAGUGUGUAACAACUCACCUGCCGAAGCAACUAGCCCUGAAAAUGGAUGGCGCUGAAGCGUCGUGCCUAUACUCGGCCGUCAGUCUGGCAGUCCUGGCCGGUCCUUGCGGCCGGCCGCGAAGCCCUGACGAGUAGGAGGGUCGCGGCGGUGAGCGCAGAAGGGUCUGGGCGUGAGCCUGCCUGGAGCCGCCGUCGGUGCAGAUCUUGGUGGUAGUAGCAAAUACUCCAGCGAGGCCCUGGAGGGCUGACGCGGAGAAGGGUUUCGUGUGAACAGCCGUUGCACACGAGUCAGUCGAUCCUAAGCCCUAGGAGAAAUCCGAUGUCGAUGGGGGCCGUCUAGCAGAGCGCUUGCGUUGUGCUGGCCCCCGUUGGGCGAAAGGGAAUCCGGUUCCUAUUCCGGAACCCGGCAGCGGAACCGAAACAAGUCGGGCCCCUCUUUAUGAGAUGCUCGUCGGGGUAACCCAAAAGGACCCGGAGACGCCGUCGGGAGAUCGGGGAAGAGUUUUCUUUUCUGCAUGAGCGUUCGAGUUCCCUGGAAUCCUCUAGCAGGGAGAUAGGGUUUGGAACGCGAAGAGCACCGCAGUUGCGGCGGUGUCCCGAUCUUCCCCUCGGACCUUGAAAAUCCGGGAGAGGGCCACGUGGAGGUGUCGCGCCGGUUCGUACCCAUAUCCGCAGCAUGUCUCAAGGUGAAGAGCCUCUAGUCGAUAGAAUAAUGUAGAAGGAAGUC